GGUAGGGAGCUGAGGGUCAGGGUACAAAGCCCAGGAGGGCCUCUCCAGAUUGCCGGCCUUAAGUGGGCGUGGGCUGGAAUUUCGGCCGGGCUUGCCAGAAGGCGAGGCUUGACAACACAGCAAGGACGGCUCCAAGCAAAGCUGCAUGGCCGCUGUCUGUGCCUGGCGGGCCGCAGGCAAGGCGAGACCCUCGGCUGGCCCUGCCCGCCCUUUGCUCCCGGCCUGGGGGCGCUCACUCACAGCGCGGCCUCUGCCAGGAGGCAUCCCUGCGCCCGGAGCAGCGACCCGGUCCUCCAGCAGGGAGGGGUUGGGCUGCGCCCCGGCUUUAUAUUCUGGGCUCCGUGGUUUGGGGGCGAGGGGCUGGACGGGAAGCCGGGGGGGACCCUCCCGGAAGCUGCGUGGGGCGGGACGCGGGGCGCAAUCUCUGCGGGAGGGCUGAGCGCGGGGCCCCCCCGCCGCCGGCCCUCACCUGGCCUCACCUGGGCCCCGCGCCCGGCCGGCUUCGAGGAACGCGGGCGCGCGCUGACGGGGGCCCGGGCCAGGAGCUGCCUCUGGGGCCGCGACCCCCGGCCUCGCGGUUGGGUGACUAGCCGGCCCUGGCCGAGUCCACGCCGCCCGCGGCGGCCCCUUCCCCGGCGGCCUGGCGCCGCGGUGCGGCCUGCGCGCCCGCCCUCCGGCCGGCCCCCGCCGCCCACUCGGCCCUGCGCCGGCCCCCAGCCCUCGCCCGCGUCAGUCCCGGGGAGGCGGCGGGGUCCCGGACCGAGGGGCGGGCAGCGGGCGCCGGGGGCGCGCGGGAGGGCGGGGCGCGCGCAGGGCGGGGCGGCCCCGGAGCCCCAUCCCCGGACCUACCGGCGGCGGCGGGGCGGCGGCGGCCGCGCUCCGGAAGCCGUGCCCGGUGGCUGGGCAUCAUGGGAAUGGCACGGCCGAGUUCCGGGGGAGGCGCGCGGCCCGGCCGGACCCCCGCCCGGCGAGCGCGCGCCCACCUGCCGGCCGCGCCGCGGAGGAGCCGCAGGAGCCGCGCGCCGCCCCCGCGCCCGCCCGGCGCCCGCGCCCCGCGCCCCUCGCCGGCCCCGCCUGGAGGCGGCCCGAGCCUCCGGAGACGCCCCACCCCUCCCGUCUCCGGCCGGCCCCCGAAGUGCGCCGGGGCGCUUGGAAGUGAAGAGCGCCUUCACGAUGAGAGAAACUCAAAUGAAAGGAGGCACGGGCCCCCGCCCACACCAGGAGCCCUGACAGCCCCUGGGAUGCAGCACUCUAGCCAGCUGGUGUGACAAUGAAGGGCGUGUCCUCACCACGUCGGAAACUCGAGGCCUGCUGAUCCCGCUCGAGGACUCUGUCCCAAGGUUGCCGUCACAGUCCAG
rnacentral:lncRNA from 1 species